rnacentral:rRNA from 1 species
ACGGAAGGCAGCAGUGAGGAAUAUUGGUCAAUGGGCGCGAGCCUGAACCAGCCAAGUAGCGUGAAGGAUGACUGCCCUAUGGGUUGUAAACUUCUUUUGUAUGGGAAUAAAGUCACCUACGUGUAGGUGUUUGUAUGUACCAUACGAAUAAGCAUCGGCUAAUUCCGUGCCAGCAGCCGCGGUAAUACGGAAGAUGCGAGCGUUAUCCGGAUUUAUUGGGUUUAAAGGGAGCGUAGGCGGUCUGUUAAGUCAGCGGUUAAAUGUCAGUGCCCAACAUUGGCAUGCCGUUGAUACUGGCGGACUUGAAUACACACAAGGAAGGUGGAAUUCGUCGUGUAGCGGUGAAAUGCUUAGAUAUGACGAAGAACUCCGAUUGCGAAGGCAGCCUUCUGGGGUGCGAUUGACGCUGAGGCUCGAAAGCGCGGGUAUCAAACAGGAUUAGAUACCCUGGUA